AGAGUUUGAUCUUGGCUCAGGAUGAACGCUAGCGGCAGGCCUAAUACAUGCAAGUCGAACGGGUGUAGCAAUACACUAGUGGCGCACGGGUGCGUAACGCGUAACCAACCUGCCCUGAACUGGGGGAUAGCCCGCCGAAAGGCGGAUUAAUACCGCAUAAUCCACAUGCCCGGCAUCGGGUGUUUGGUAAAGAUUUAUUGGUUCAGGAUGGGGUUGCGUGCCAUUAGCUAGUUGGGGGGGUAACGGCCCACCAAGGCGACGAUGGCUAGGGGAGCUGAGAGGCUGGUCCCCCACACGGGCACUGAGAUACGGGCCCGACUCCUACGGGAGGCAGCAGUAGGGAAUAUUGGGCAAUGGUCGAGAGACUGACCCAGCCAUGCCGCGUGCAGGAUGAAGGCUUUCUGAGUCGUAAACUGCUUUUGCCAGGGAAGAAUAAGGGGCAUGCGUGCUCCGACGACGGUACCUGGUGAAUAAGCACCGGCUAACUCCGUGCCAGCAGCCGCGGUAAUACGGAGGGUGCAAGCGUUGUCCGGAUUUAUUGGGUUUAAAGGGUGCGUAGGCGGCCGAUUAAGUCUGGGGUGAAAGCCCGUUGCUCAACAACGGAACUGCCCUGGAAACUGGUUGGCUUGAGUACAGACGAGGGUGGCGGAAUGGAUGCUGUAGCGGUGAAAUGCAUAGAUAGCAUCCAGAACCCCGAUUGCGAAGGCAGCUGCCUAGACUGUAACUGACGCUGAGGCACGAAAGCGUGGGGAGCGAACAGGAUUAGAUACCCUGGUAGUCCACGCCGUAAACGAUGGAUACUCGCUGGUGGCGAUAGAUGGUCACUGGCUUAGCGAAAGCGUUAAGUAUCCCACCUGGGGAGUACGCCCGCAAGGGUGAAACUCAAAAGAAUUGACGGGGGCCCGCACAAGUGGUGGAGCAUGUGGUUUAAUUCGAUGAUACGCGAGGAACCUUACCUAGGCUAGAAUGCGCGUGACCGGUUCAGAGAUGAGCCUUUCCUUCGGGACACAAAGCAAGGUGCUGCAUGGCCGUCGUCAGCUCGUGCCGUG
rnacentral:rRNA from 1 species